AUCGCUUCUCGGCGUUUUGGCUAAGAUCAAGUGUUGUGUCUGUUCUUAUCCGUUUAUUUAUUUAUUUUUUUAAAAUGUUUCCAUUAUUUCUUUUUUUAUUUUGGUCAGCUCAGCCCACCCUGGGGGCGGGGCUGGCAUGGCUUGUGGUGCUGGGGAUCGAACCAAGGUCCCUGCAUGCUUGCCUAA